rnacentral:rRNA from 1 species
UACGUAGGGUGCAAGCGUUAAUCGGAAUUACUGGGCGUAAAGCGUGCGCAGGCGGCUUUGCAAGACAGAUGUGAAAUCCCCGGGCUUAACCUGGGAACUGCAUUUGUGACUGCAUGGCUGGAGUGCGGCAGAGGGGGAUGGAAUUCCGCGUGUAGCAGUGAAAUGCGUAGAUAUCUGGAGGAACACCGGUGGCGAAGGCGGCUCUCUGGACCGACACUGACGCUGAGGCGCGAAAGCGUGGGGAGCAAACAGG